CCUACGGGUGGCAGCAGUGAGGAAUAUUGGUCAAUGGACGAGAGUCUGAACCAGCCAAGUAGCGUGAAGGAUGACUGCCCUAUGGGUUGUAAACUUCUUUUAUAUGGGAAUAAAACGUUCCACGUGUGGGAUUUUGUAUGUACCAUAUGAAUAAGGAUCGGCUAACUCCGUGCCAGCAGCCGCGGUAAUACGGAGGAUCCGAGCGUUAUCCGGAUUUAUUGGGUUUAAAGGGAGCGUAGGUGGAUUGUUAAGUCAGUUGUGAAAGUUUGCGGCUCAACCGUAAAAUUGCAGUUGAAACUGGCAGUCUUGAGUACAGUAGAGGUGGGCGGAAUUCGUGGUGUAGCGGUGAAAUGCUUAGAUAUCACGAAGAACUCCGAUUGCGAAGGCAGUUCACUGGACUGCAACUGACACUGAGGCUCGAGAGUGUGGGUAUCAAACAGGAUUAGAUACCCUAGUAGUC
rnacentral:rRNA from 1 species